rnacentral:rRNA from 1 species
GAUGAACGCUAGCUACAGGCUUAACACAUGCAAGUCGAGGGACCGGCGCACGGGUGAGUAACGCGUAUCCAACCUGCCCAUAAGUAAGGUAUAACCCGCAGAAAUACGGACUAAUCACCUAUGCUUAUGGAUGGGGAUGCGUCCGAUUAGCUGGUGGGUGAGGUAACGGCUCCCCAAGGCUUCGAUGGGGAGGGGUUCUGAGGGGAAGGCCCCCCACACAGUAACCGCGACACGGUCCUAACUCCUACGGGAGGCAGGAGUGAGGAACACUGGGCAAUGGGCGCGAGCCUGACCCAGCCAAGUGGCGUGCAGAAUGCCGGCCUAUGGGUUGUAAACUGCUUUUAUGCGGGGAUAGGUACCGCAUGAAUAAGGACCGGCUAAUUCCGUGCCAGCAGCCGCGGUAAUUC